GAUGAACGCUGGCGGCGUGCUUAACACAUGCAAGUCGAACGGAAAGGCCCAAGCUUGCUUGGGUACUCGAGUGGCGAACGGGUGAGUAACACGUGGGUGAUCUGCCCUGCACUUCGGGAUAAGCCUGGGAAACUGGGUCUAAUACCGGAUAGGACCACAUUUUGGAUGGUGUGGUGGAAAGUUUUUCGGUGUGGGAUGAGCUCGAGGCCUAUCAGCAUGUUGGUGGGGUAAUGGGCUAACAAGGCGUCGGCGGGUAGACGGCCUGCGAGGGUGUACGGCCACUGUGGGACAUAGAACCGGCCCAGACUGCGACCGGAGGCAGCAGUGGUGAAUAUUGCACAAUCGGUGCAAGCCUGAUGCAGCGACGCCGCGUGGGGGAUGACGGCCUUCGGGUUGUAAACUCCUUUCGCUAGGGACGAAGCGUUAUGUGACGGUACCUGGAGAAGAAGCACCGGCUAACUACGUG
rnacentral:rRNA from 1 species